UGAUUGUCAAUUUGCUUAGCAGAAGAAAGGCUUGGAGUGCUUAAUCAAGAGGCCAAUGCUUGGCUGUGAGGAAUAAAUUGUAAAGUUGUCACUUUGUGAAGGGACACUUGUCUUGACACUUCAGCUUGUCUUGUACGUGAUGCAUGAAUUCCCUCCCUGGUCUGAUGAGUCUUGUCUCAAUGCUAAUUCCAUCUUUUUUCCCACUCUCAUUUGCAUGGCGUCCAGGGGAUUUGUCAAUUGCUAGUUUUCAAACCUGACUGACUGACGUGAGGGUAAAGCGGGCUCACAGCAGACUGAUUUGCGUUUAGGAUUGUGUCCACACGACCAUUUACCCACUCUUAAAAUUAGUAAUAGUGCUGUCUUGUACCAUUCAGUUUUGCCCAAGUUUGCUCCUUUUAGUCCCUUCUAGCCAUGAAUUGUCCUUGCCAGUAGUUUGUUGUUUUUUCCCUCAGUAAUUGUGCCAAUUACCAUGUGAUUAAUGUGUCACCUUUGUGUCCUACUCUAGAUUAUUAGUUAAUUAUGCUGCUCAAAUGUUGGCUGCAGUCCAAAUUCAAAUAUUCAUCAGAAUCCACAUUUUGUACUUGGUUAAAAAAAUGAACUGGUAAUACUUAAGAAGUCCUGCAGAAAUUUACCAUGGUACUGUUUCCACUAAAAUAACGUAGUUAACUAGUUGACUCCGUGAUCUGGUUGGAGUAGUUCCCUGGUGGGCAGAUUGUUAGUGAAUAACAACCUAAACCGAAGGUUCUCAACUUUGACCCUCAAUGUCUUCUUUCCUCACUUGAUCAAACUCACCGAACUAUAACUUUCUAGUAAUCCUGAAGACUUCUAUUAGUGCAAGUGUGUUAUUUAGGGUUGGAGCUAAACUCUGCAGGAAAGUGGACCUUGAAGACAAGAGUUGAGAACCCCUGACCUGAACUUCAGGACGUUCCUCACCCAAAGUUAUCAUUUCAGAAGACUUGUAGCACACAAGCACCACUUAUAUGAUGGUUCUUGAUCUUUUUUGAAGCCGGAAACUUCCAGUCCACAAUUGUUAUUGCAUGGAAAAGAGCGACCAGGAUAUUCUGCAAAAUUGAUCCUUUUUUUGUUUCUUGGAAGAAAAAAGAAAUGCAGGUUUAGAUUGACAUGAAGGUGACUGAAUCUUUUAAAGGUGUUUCUAUCAAUUUUGUUUAUCGGAUCCUACCUUAAAGCGAUUUAAAAUGGAAUUGAUUCUGCAGUAACAGAGUGAUUGCUUGCCUCUCAACACCUGGAGUUCUGAAACAUGUACAUCGUGCCAUAGCUGCCUGCUACUUGGUCUCUCUUAUGGCUUUUCAUUCUAUGUUUAUUCCUCGCUUAUUGGCCCCCAACCCUUAUUUUCCAAGCUGCCACUUACACAGACUUCAUCUAAUUAAAUAUAAAGGUUGCAUCUCUAUCAGAGACCUACACCUCAGUGUCUAAUGAUUAGCUUUAUUUAGAGCUUUAUUGCCAUUGCUUGCUCUUGCUUUUAACACUGUGCUCCAAGGCUUUUAGUGUGUUUGCGAUCACUGUGCUUUUCCAGAUAAGGUAUUAAAUUACCCAGUGUCCUCUUUGUGUGCAUAUAAUGAGAGAGAGUGCCCUUUCUGUGUUCUCCAGACGUGGUCAGAUAGCAGUAAUAGAACGGCUAGGGGGCGGGUGCAAUGGUUUCCCAUCAGCCCUAUGUUUUGCUGUUUCAUUAUUUUGUUAUUUUAUGUCGUCAUUCUGUUCGCAUGCAAU